GCAAGCAUCUGACGGCACUGAAAGCGAGACUUGACUCUACUGGCAGAGGGGGAAAAGCCACCUGUGAUUAAAACAGGCAGAAAAGGAAGCAAGCACUGCCCUGAUGUCCCUGCUAAAGGAAGGAAAGGUUUCAGAGCCAUGGCAGAGCCCGGACCUGCCUCCCCAGCGCCCUGCUGCAGCCUGCCCAAGGCAUCAGCACACACUGCUCCAUCCACCUGCACGAAGCAGCUGCUGCAAUUCUGCUCUCCUUCUACAGCUCCCUGAAAACACUCAAAUCUCAAAUAAGACACCUCUGGCCCCUGGUCUGCUGGGAGAUUAUCAUGUUAUUACUAAUACUGUUCAGCUGGAAGGAGACAUGGGAAAUGAGGAUAACAAGCUCAGAAUAUCAACCUUCAUGAAGCAGGCAUGUGAGUUAUAUUAAAGCACAAAACUGAGGAGCACUGAAGCCAU